CAAACAGCAUUUACAGUCUACAGUCGCGCAACAAAUGGAAGGAGGUCAAACCAAAUGUUCAAGUUGGUGAUGUCGUCAUUCUAAAGGACAAUGGACAGCAUAGAAACCUUUGACCUCUAAAUCGCGUUAACCGUGUGUUCCCUAGUAGGGAUGACCUAGAUCGUAAAGAUGGAAUUAAACAUACUUAUGUCCGACCAAUAACUCAAGUGAUUCCACUAUUUUCACUUUACACAGACUAGAUGUAUUCGUUACUUUACGUAUUUUGUUGUAAUGUUUUACUCUAUGCCUUCACAUGAUUCAUGUAAAUGUUGAAAACUUCAUAUUAGGCGGGGAGUGUUAUGUAUUCACAUCGGAAUGGAGUUAUCUCUCUUAAACCAUGUUAAUAAUCGAGGCGAUCCGUUUGACCGUUAUUGGUUCUGUAAUUCAUAGUGCGUAGUUCCUGCGCACGAGAUUUGCUUGCUCCAAGCACAUUUAACAAAUUUAUGAAUUGAUACCCCAUGCAGUAUGUUUAUUUACCACAAUGCAGUACAGCGUACACAGUAUGCACUAGCAUAUUAUUGUGCUAAAGAACAGUAAUAAACUACAUCGAGAGAAAAAACCCAUGCUGAUUAUAGUGUGGUCAACAUCUGCAAAAAGGCAGAAUUUUAGAUCUGUCUCGCAUCUUAAAAAGUGUGAUGACCGAUAUAUUUUCUUUGAUGAUUUACUUAUUAACUCUAAUAAACUGACAUAAAUAAAC